GCUUGAUAGAGCUGCCUGGACAGGUGAUGGGAUUGGAUAUUGCCGCCCCACGUUCUCUGCCAGGGCAAGGCUGGAUUGAUUGCAUUAUUUAGAGUAAGCAAAACCCCCAAAAGCGAAGUGCUUGACUUUCAGGCUUUUCCUUCCAAAGGGGAGAGCUGAUGGCAGUUUAAUUUAAAAAGGGAGGCGGGGGUGACAAUGGAAUAUUCAAUCCAUGGUCAAUUCUCUGUUCUACAGGAUUUCAUUUUUGCUUACUUUCCAUGCAGUUGCAUUCAUUCAUGAUGUCUAGCACACGCUCUUGCCAGGAUGGCUGUGUGGAGGCUGGUGACAUUUGUAAGAAGGAGCAGCUGGAGGCUAAGGCAGCCGUGGUUUUUAACUAGCACUCAGUGGAACUGGAGGUUUUCUAGGAGGUUAGCAGAGAAGGCUGGAAACUAAUUUCAGAAGGUCUGAUAUUUUAUUUUUCUAGUCCUUUAUUUUUGUUUCUAACAAGACUUAGCAUUAGAAAGAUCUAAAUGUUAGGUUAACUAAUGUAUAGGGGGAACCCAGAUUGUCAUAACAAAAAAAUAUAAACUGAGGAGUUCCUGUUGUGGCUCAGCAGAAACAAACAGUACUAGUAUCCAUGAGGAAGCAGGUUCAAUUCCUGUCCUCGCUCAGUGGGUUAUGGAUCCAGCAUCGCCAUGGGCUGUGGUGUAGGUUGCAGACACGGCUUAGGUUUGGUGUUGCUGUGGCUGUGGUGUAGGUCGGCAGCUGAGGCUCCAAUUCGACCCCUAGCCUGGGAACCUCCAUAUGCCAUGAGUAUGGCCCUAAAAAGAUAAAUCCGCAUAUGCAACCUGUCUUGCAGAUCGAGGCAACGCUAGAUCCUUAACCCACUGAGUGAAGCCAGGGAUCGAACCUGCAUCUUCAUGGAUCCUAGUCAAGUUCUUAACUCACUGAGCCACAAUGGGAACUCCUUAACUUCAUUUUCAACCCUUGUCCCUCCUCAAGAGAAUGAAGGGUAGGGCUGACAAUUCCAAGCUUUUAGUCCUGGUUUCUUUCCGGUGGCCACCCCUCAUUCAGGAGCCCUUCAGAAGCCCACUCGGAGAAACGUCAUUAGAACAAAAUGUAUUCCUAUCACCCAGCAAAUUGCAGGGGUUUCAGAGGCCCUGGCUUGGGAAUCAGGGGCAGAGACCAAUAUUUUUUUAUUAUUUCACAGCCUAGAUGACCCCUCCCCCAAGAAUGCCUCUGUGGGAGAAAGAGCUCCUUGAACCGUGAUUACUUUCUUGAUGGUCCCACAGUGUCAGUGAACUGUGAUGAGGGCAGGAUGGGGAAGAAAGAGGCCAGGGAGUGGGUGAUGCUGGACCAGUCACUUUAGACUAUUCUCUCUCUGCUCCAUUUCCAUCCCUAUUCCUCACCUUCCAGUCACCCACUGAAACACCUCUAGGGGUCAGGGACAGCACGGACCCUAGGAGGGUCCCUGAAACACCACUCCUGGCCACCCUGCACUGCUCUUCACCAAAGGGCAGCUCUCGAUGGACAAGAAAAGGCCCAGACUAUUGCAAUCCAGUCUCUGUAAAAAUAUCCCGGAAGAAGUUCUCUCCAAACUUCUGUUGAGGCUCCUUCCUUUAGACGUGAUCGAUGGCGCCUUUUUCUUGGCUGAAAUUCAAAGAAACCUCUAACACGAAUGAGGAAACACUUUCAAUCACUUUGCAAUCCACAGCUUGUCUCUCCUGCUUCUCUAAGGUUAUUGCAUUAUAUUUAGAAUGUUUACUUAAAAAGUGUGUAGGGCUGACCGGAGCUGAAUCUCUGUGUCUUUCAUUAGAACACAUCCACAUUUUCUAGCACUGGGGGCCACUGGCAGGAUGCUAAAAAUAGUCCACCGAAUCCUCUCCUCCACCAGAAGGAUGGAGAAAACAGAAGAAGAGAGAAAACAGAAACUCCCUCUUGACCCCUCUCCCUGAAUUCCUCCUGCAACGGAGUGAAGGUUUUGCUCCAGGAAUAAAAGUUCUUUGCCUUGAAAUGAGGGCUAACAAGAAGCUGGCACCUUCAGUCUGUUUCUGUGAAGCCAAAGGUGACAUGAGUGUUCUCGUCACACACUUGCUUUAAAACGCUAGCAACUUGACAUUACUUGCAGGACAGAGGCUGGAUGUCCUGCAUUUCAUUUCUGGGUUGCUUUUUAAUCAGUUCCAAUCACCCUGCGUUUCCCCUUCUGUUCUUGAAUUUUCACUUUCAGACUCAUCUCAUCAGUGUCCCCCAAUUCUUGCUGUUUUUCUGGUCCUUUGAUCACACUACUCUUUUCCAAACACCCGACUCUUAUAAACCGGUUUGGUUCAGCUCAUCUUUCCUGGAAGAACACCAAGCUCCCCUUCCAGAAAAGCCUGCCCUGACUUCCCAAAUUAUGAAGAAAUUUCCAGCCUCCUGCAGGACUCGACAGCAGUCUGCUCUUUCUGACGCUUAGCAAAUGAGUCUUACACAGGUAAUUUAUCUUUUAGAUGUGUGCAAGUUUUAUUUUCUUAAUAUCUUGCAAACUUCUGGGAAUCCAAUUGUGUGUUUUAGUCUCUGUAUCUGAUGUAGCCAUUGACAAACAGUAGGUGCUUAAUUAGUGUUUAAGGAUUGCUUUAGGAAUCCUUGCUCUGUUUCCAUAGGGUGAAUUGAACAUACAUAUCAGCCAGGCCAAGGGGAGAACUCUCCAGGGUUUUUGUAAAGUGGUGCUUGAUAAAUGUUCCUUUUCCCCUAAAAUGCUUGUAGAGGGAUGUGAUGGGUGUUGGGAGGAGGAAGGUCACCUCUGUGGUUUAAAAAGAAAAAGAAAGAUAUUUCUUUGUACAGUAUCCUCACUGAGUCACAAGACCCUUGAACAUAUUAAAGGUGCUCAGAAAUCCUGCAGUAAAGAAAGCUCUUUUAUUUUGUUGAGUUUACCAUCUCCCAAAUUAAGUUGACUGUGGUACUCUUUUUAUUUUCAUUUUUCUGAGAAGUAAAUGACCUUUCGCAUCCACAAACACUAAAUGUCUCAGUCAGCUCGCUGGUUUAAACAACAGAAAUUUAUUUCUCACAGGUCAGGAGGCUGGGAGUCCAAGAUCAAGCCUCCAGCAUGGUUGGGUUUUUAGAAAGAGCCCUCUUCCUGGCUUAUAGAAGGCCAGCUUCUCGCUUUGUCCUCACCUGACAGAGAGAAAGAGAGCUCUGGUCUCUCUUCCUCUUCUUUUAAGGACCCUAAUUCCACCCCCAGGAUUUCAUUUAAAUCUAAUUGGCUUCCAAAUCAACCCCCCGCCCCUGCCCGCUGCCGCCGCACCAAAAAAAUACCAUCACAUCAGGGGAUAGGGUUUUGAUUUCUGAAUGUGGGGGAAGGGUGGCCCAAACUUUCAGUCCACAACACAAAACCUCUGUCGAACACAUUUUGAAAGAAUCUUCUUCCUCUCAGGCUUUCCAGCUACCUUCCCUCCAAGCCACACUUUCAGUGAGCUUUUCUCAUCUGUGACUGACAUGGUCUCUUGGGUAAUUGGAUUUCAAUACUCUGUGAAGGGUUUAUUAUUUUGCCCAGUUUGCACUCUGAACAAGUGCCUCCCAUUUCUGAGGUUCUGUUUUGCAUCCUUUUCCGUAGGUCCGAAUGAGGAUCAGGGCAUCAAUCAAUAUUUCUGGUAACUGAGGUAACCACAAGACGUAAAGUAGACAAUUUUUUGUUCUCCUGCCCUAUGUGAACAUUUUAGAGGUUUUCCUAGUCCAAUCGGAUUUUUAAAAAACACACAUGAAGUAAUGAAGUACUUGGAAAGCGAGUAAUAUGCCCACAAGUUGGGGUAAAGUUGGAGGUAAAUCCAAGACUUCUGGCUGCCAGGUAAGUGGCCUUUUCCAUACCUCUCUCUAACUUCUCAAUCGUGUGGCAUUGCCCAAGUCUGAAAUUUUCCUUAAUCUCUUGAAGUCAGCUUAGAUCAACCCAAACAGGAAAGAAAGUUACAUCUCAUUUCUGGUAAUCUGUACAAGAGGUUUCUGUACUGGGUUCCCUGUAACCAGACCCUUCGAUUCUUCUUUGCAAGGAACACUCUUCCUUCCCCCUCAAUCUGCUCGGCCUCCUGUGGGUGUUUCCAAGGCAAAGUCCCUUGAAAAAGGUGGCACUCAAGACAAAACCCAGUUCUCCAGAUGUGACCAGACUUGACAAAAUGCAGUGGGGCUCUUCCUGCUCCCUUACCCCAGGCCCACUGCUUCUCUUGCUGUGGGAGAAGGGUGUUACUCUUAGUGGAUCCAGAUAUUCUUUUCAUUAUGCUUUUGCCUGCCUCCAGACCUACUUGCUAUCUCUUAGCCUGGGGUUUGCUUUUUCUUUUUUUUUCUUUUCAUAGCUACACCUGUGGCAUAUGGAAGUUCCAGGGCCAGGGGUCAAAUCAGAGCUUCAGCUGCAGACUUACCCACAGCCACAACAACAAUGGAUCCAAGCCACAUCUGUGACCUGCACCAUGGCUGUGGCAACACCAGAUGCUUAACCCACUGAGCAAAACCAGGGGUCAAACCUGCAUCCUCACAGAGACAGCAUUUGGGUCCUUAACCCCCUGAGCCACAAUGGGAACUCUUAACCUGGGGUUUUGAGCCUUCCCACCAUUUGGUUCCUCUCCAAUUUAAUUUAUAACAUCUUUUGCUACAUCCCAGCUUUUGUCCUCUUGUCAGUCAAGCCUGCCUUACAUUUCCCUGUAUCUGCUUCUGCUUCAC
rnacentral:lncRNA from 1 species